CCGCGGGGUGGGGGGCCACGUGCUUCCGGCGUGACCUACCGACCGGAAGUGGCCUGAGUCGGGUGGGAUAGGGUGGCGCCGCUAGGCCGGGAGGGCGGAGGCCCUGAGCCCCAGCCUCCCACCUCGGGGCCACAUUGGGAACCUUAUCAACAGCAUCGACACCUCCUCUGAUGGCCCCAGCCACAAUCUCUUCCACUUCCAGCUACUUGAGUCACUUCUGAUUCAAAAGAGAAAAAGGAAGCAAGCCCGUAGAGACAGAACCUAAUUAAAAACAUCCCUUGCAGCAGCUGAAGUGAAGGCUGGCUGGGGCCAGGCCUGGUCAGGGCCCAGCCUCGCAGCAUCUACCAGAAUUUUGCCAAAGCAGGAAGACAGCAAAGACACCCUGAUUAACUCUCCCAGGGAUGCAGCGGGGUGGUCAUUUUGAAAUUUUCUGGGAUGCUUUGCCACUAGGUGUAAAUUUAGCCCAAGCUCUGCACUGCCAGAUUCUCUAGGUUCAACCAAGCAAUUGUAUCACACUCCAAGUCCUGACAUUACCGAAUUUAGCCUGAUUUAUGAUGGGACCUCUAAAGACCACUUUAUGUGGUAUGUAAAGAAAGCCAUUGACUGAUCCCUGGCAGCUCCACGGCAGGGCUGCAACCUGCAUUCUUCUCUGCUGUUCUGAUGUGGGUAUCAUGACCAACACUAAUGAGAAUAUGAACCCUGUGUUUACCUGUGACUGCAUUUUAUAGUACAAAACAGUUUUACUUUCAUUAUUCCAGCAGGUCCCACAGUGGGUCCACUACGUAGACAGCUAUGUGAUCGUGAGAGUUUGUUCAGCCUCUCUGGGUCUCAGUUUACCCAUCUUCCAAAUGAUAAUAGAACCUCUAAAGGAGUUGUAAGGAUGAAACCAUGUAAUACCUGUGAAGCCCUUAAAAUUUCUUAAUAAAGAAUUAAUAAAGGCUUGAAAUUAUUGAUAGGAAUUUCUAGUCUCACUCUACAGAAGAAACCAAGUUGAUGAAUAAGAAUCCUGGGUGUCAAGGAAGAAAAGCACUGUGGGUCUAGACGCAGACCAAGCUGGGCGUUCCUGUGCGGGACUUCUAUUACGAACCGCAUAGAUGCCUUUCCAACUCGGGAACAGAGAAAUACAGACUCCUCAAAAGAGAGGGGAUGGUGUUGCCAAAGAAAGAGAUUUGAAAAGAAAACAACACUUGCCUUUUAAAACCAUGGAACCCUUCUUAUUUUUAUAUGUUCAGGUCUAAAUGCCAGAAAGGGUACCAUAUUCAAAGGAAAUGAGAUUUGAAAAUGAUCCCUUUGAGUUCUCUGCCGAGGGCUUUCCAAGGUGCUGCAGUCAGGGUUUUGCACUUAAAUACCCCUGCCUCAUUUUA